CUUAGGAUGAACGCUAGCGACAGGCCUAACACAUGCAAGUCAGGGGCAGCACAAGGAGCAAUCUGAGGUGGCGACCGGCGCACGGGUGAGUAACACGUAUGCAACCUGCCUGUAAGCGGGGAAUAACCCGUUGAAAGACGGACUAAUACCGCAUAAUACUAAAUUACUGCAUGGUAAUUUAUUUAAACAUCUAUGGCUUACAGAUGGGCAUGCGCAUGAUUAGCUAGUUGGAGAGGUAACGGCUCCCCAAGGCAACGAUCAUUAGGGGUUCUGAGAGGAAGGUCCCCCACACUGGUACUGAGACACGGACCAGACUCCUACGGGAGGCAGCAGUGAGGAAUAUUGGUCAAUGGACGAGAGUCUGAACCAGCCAAGUCGCGUGCAGGAAGAAUGUCCCUAUGGAUUGUAAACUGCUUUUGCAGGGGAAUAAAGUGCAUCACGUGUGAUGUUUUGUAUGUACUCUGCGAAUAAGGAUCGGCUAACUCCGUGCCAGCAGCCGC
rnacentral:rRNA from 1 species